rnacentral:lncRNA from 1 species
AUGCACACGUGUGCACACACCUGCCCCCACGAGCCUGGUGCAUGCUUCACUGCAGCCUUUCCCGUUUCCUUCAGCUGGGCGUUCUUGCACCCGUCUGUGCCGAGUGUGCCCAUUUUUGCGCUCGUGACUGGUGGUCCCCUGUACACGUUCAUUCAUCCCUGCUCCGCACGUUCAUUCUGGAUUCUAGGCACUCCUGCCUGGUGCUUGCACGGUGCUUCUCGCCCUGUGGCGCUUCCUCCCUGGCCGCACCGGUGCGUGGCGCAGGCUUCUCGGGCUUGCGUCUUCCUUCUGACUCUGUUCCUGCUUGUGCUAGGAGCCAUCUCGUGUGCUUCCUGCGUUUGGCUUCUUCGGAGCCCAGCCCGCAGAUCUGGAGAGUUUCCGGCUCCCUGGCUCUUGGUCCCGAGACUCCUCGAAAGGCCAUGGAGAGUUGAAGAGUCACAACAGAGAAGGGAGUGCUGUGCUGACCUGUGGUGGGGUCUGGAUUAGCAGGGCUGCAUUAGAGCAAGACCACACGUUGCUGUUUGCUGCUGUCUUUGACCCCCAUUUCCUGGAAAUUUGGCUCCAGAAUUGAGGGCAGAGGGGUGGGGUUGUGGACAGAUUAUGUCUCAGAACCUUGGGAGAGUCAUGGCUCCAUGGAGGCUCAGAGAAGCCUGCAGCUCUGUGGGGAAGGGAAGGCUGUGUGCUCCAGUAGCAUGCCGGCAGUCCUGUGGACCCCUCCUUGGGGAAUGUCUGGGGGCCAUGACUGAGAGCAGCACAGGAUGAAUGGGCAUAUUUGGAGGGCGAAGGUCACAGACUACUCGGGCUGUCUUUGGUUAUCAUUGGGGUGGAGUGGAGGAGAAAGUCUGUUCACUUAAAUUCAGGCAAUGUUUAUCAAGCCAACCAUCUCUGUGCAACAUUGUGCUCACACACCUGGACAAUGAUGAGUGUGUACGUGUAUGUGUGUGCAUGUCUGCAUGUACGUGCAUAUAUGUGUAUGUGUGCAUGCGUUCGUGUGUGUGUGUGUGUGUGUGCGCGCGUGUGUGCGCGUGUUAGGGGCCUUAGCUGCAGGCAGCCCUGUUGGAGCUCUGGGAGGAAGGUCCUCGGAGGGCAGGGUGGAGGACUCCAAUAACUGAACGUUCUAGAGCAUUUUAAAGUUUGUCCAGCUUUGCCCCCCUUGAUCUUAAACCCCAGGCGAGNNNNNNNNNNCUAAGUUAGACGUAGCUGUUAUUCCUGAUUUGUCAGGUAUUUGUAAGUACAUUCGGGGUAGUGCGUCAGGUGUGGAGGGAGGGCUGCUUUCACCUCCGCUGCCCACCAGCUGCUCUCCUCGUGCAGGGUUUGUGUUGGCCCUUCCACUUUUUCCUUUAUCGUCCCUCACUAGGAGCUGUGCUUCUCUGUUGUUCGGCCAGACUUCAUUGUCGUGUGUAAACUGAGGGACUGGUCUGUGCAUAAAUCUUGAUCUGUGUUUAGGUUGGCCACUGAGAGGCCUUUUCAGCCUGUCACCUGGUCCAAACAAUCGAGGUUGUCACUUCUGGAUAAGUGAGGUAAUGCUCUUAAUAGAAUUGUCUGUGUGAUGCAUUUCCAGAUUCAUAGUUAACUCUAGGGAUUUUAUAAAAUUAGGAUUUUUAAAAAAUUAAACUUUCUGAUAAAAUACUGUGAACUCAGCAGCGCUGUGUCAGUACGCAAUUGACUGAACAGGUUGGCGAGUGGAGUCAGUUAAAAAGGGUGAGCUGCUGGCGUGAGGUGAGAAGAUGGCAGGGAUGCUGGCUUUGCGAGCUCGCUCGCCAGGUUCUUUCGGGGACCAUGUCGGGUCCCGUCCGGGGCUGUGUGAGUGUGCACGCUGGGGUCGAUGGACUUGGAUGACACACUUCCCUCUGUAGUGGGAGGUAGCCCUAAACAGAGACUGCCUUGGGUUUGUUCACUGUGUGCAGUGAGAUGCCUAACGGGAACACAGACACGUUCAGUAUAUAUUCAUAAAUUGAAUAAAAACACUGCUCUAGCGACA